rnacentral:rRNA from 1 species
GAUGAACGCUAGCUACAGGCUUAACACAUGCAAGUCGAGGGGCAGCGGUAUCGAAAGCUUGCUUUCGGUAGCCGGCGACCGGCGCACGGGUGAGUAACGCGUAUCGAACCUGCCUCAUACUCGGGAAUAGCCUUGCGAAAGUAAGAUUAAUGCCCGGUGUUUUCAGAGUCCCGCAUGAGGCUUUGAACAAAGAUUUAUCGGUAUGAGAUGGCGAUGCGUCCCAUUAGCUUGUUGGCGGGGUAACGGCCCACCAAGGCAUCGAUGGGUAGGGGUUCUGAGAGGAAGGUCCCCCACAUUGGAACUGAGACACGGUCCAAACUCCUACGGGAGGCAGCAGUGAGGAAUAUUGGUCAAUGGGCGGAAGCCUGAACCAGCCAAGUAGCGUGCAGGAAGACGGCCCUCCGGGUGGUAAACUGCUUUUAGUUGGGAAUAAAACGGGGCUCGUGAGCCCCCUUGCAUGUACCAUCAGAAAAAGGACCGGCUAAUUCCGUG